rnacentral:rRNA from 1 species
UACGUAGGUGGCAAGCGUUGUCCGGAUUUACUGGGCGUAAAGGAUGCGUAGGUGGAUAUUUAAGUGGGAUGUGAAAAUACCCGAGCUCAACUUGGGGUGCUGCAUUCCAAAACUGAAUAUCUAGAGUGCAGGAGAGGUAAGUGGAAUUCCUAGUGUAGCGGUGAAAUGCGUAGAGAUUAGGAAGAACACCAGUGGCGAAGGCGACUUACUGGACUGUAACUGACACUGAGGCAUGAAAGCGUGGGGAGCAAACAGGG